rnacentral:rRNA from 1 species
UACGAAGGGGGCUAGCGUUGCUCGGAAUUAUUGGGCGUAAAGAGCUCGUAGGCGGCUUGUCACGUCGGGUGUGAAAGCCUGGGGCUUAACCCCGGGUCUGCAUUCGAUACGGGCUAGCUAGAGUGUGGUAGGGGAGAUCGGAAUUCCUGGUGUAGCGGUGAAAUGCGCAGAUAUCAGGAGGAACACCGGUGGCGAAGGCGGAUCUCUGGGCCAUUACUGACGCUGAGGAGCGAAAGCGUGGGGAGCGAACAGG